rfam:Canis lupus familiaris chromosome 12, whole genome shotgun sequence.
AUUCUUUUGUAGUUCACGAGAGUGAUGAUUGGGUGCUCAUGGGAUUGUGUGACAUGUACCUUUCUCAAACCUUAUUACAACCUUGGCACAUUAUCUGCCUGAUA